GUGCUGGCUUUGGCAGCACAUAUACUAAAAUCAGAACAAUACAGAGAAGAUUAGGGUGGCCCCUGUGCAAGGAUGAUGCGCAAAUUUGUGAACCGUCACCUGUUUCU